UAGCAAAUCUGUGAGCAAAUUGAUAAUAUGACACACUUUUCCUGGGACUUUGAUCUGAUGACACACCUUUCUUUUAGUUUGAUUGGAUGACACACCUUUGAGUGAUAGCUGGAUUAAAUGACACAAAUUAAGUUUUUCUCUCCCUUUCUAGGUAUGGACCCCACGUCUUAUUUUAUAGGACGAUUUUGCCCCCGGUCGUUUCACAUCGAUCGUUCCUGGAAGAUCCAAACACGCCUCGCUCGAUCAGUACAUGCAUGCAGAGGCUCCAUGCAUCACGCGUACAUAUAUUAGCUCUACGUAUGGAACAAGGUGAUCCUGCUGCAUGCUUCCCGGCGCCUUAUCUCGCCGUGGCUCCUUCCCGGCGCGCCGCCACCUCGCUGUCUCCUUCCCGUCGCCGGCACGGCCACGCCGUUACCGGAGCAUACCAUCACUGGUAGCUUUGUAGCUAUUCGAUGUUGUUGUACGAGUCGAUGGACGAGGUGUCGACAGGGCGGAACGGUUGGAGCGUUGCCGGAUGAGAAGAAACGGACAAGAGGCGGCGGGGAACUGGCAGCACACGGGGAAGAGGCAUGGCCGGGCCGUGCUUGGCACUAGCAGCGCAGGUUGGAGGAAGCAGGAGCGGUGGGGCGGUGCUAGGCACCGGAGGCACGGGUGGGAGGAAGCAGGAGUGGCGGGGCGGUGCUGGGCACCGGCGGCGCGGGUGGGAGGAAGCAGGAGCUGUGGUGCAAGGAAGCAGGAGCAGCGGCGCAGCGGCUUUCGUUCGCUCUUCAAGGAACAAUCGAUCAGUUCAAUCGAGCCAGGCAGGUGAAACGACCAGGGGCAAAAUCGUCCUACAAAAUGUGACGUGGGGGCCCAUACCUAAAAAAGGAGAGAAAAACUUAUGUGUCAUUUAAUCCAGUUAUGAAUCAAAGAUGUGUCAUCUAAUCAAACCAAAAGAAAGAUGUGUCAUCAGACCAAAGUUCCAGGAAAAGUGUCAUAUUAUCAAUUUGCUCCAAAUAUGUGGGGCAUGCAGAUAGGUCCCUCCAAUCCAUUUUUCUGGUCUCAUCUCCAAAUUUUGGUUAAUUUCAAUUUCUAAGCCCACUACUAUUAGUUCCCUCCUUGCCUGUGCAGCCGUCCUCUCCGUUGGUCCUUGAUGAUUUGGUUUCUCACCAACUAAUGCUAAGUGCACAUGCAGACAUGCAUGUAUGGUUUCUCACUAAUUAAUGUGGAACUAAGGAAAAAAGAGGAAUUUUAGGGGUAAAGAUUCAGAUCUAUUGGUCUAGGUUUUUUGAGAACCUCUACGUUGGAAGAUAUUAUAGGAUGGGGCUAAUAAAAUGAAUGAGCGGGAGGAUGAUAUAUGGUUGGGUAGAUGCGGAUUACCACCGUCCCUGUUCCUCCUUCCAACAGAAAACCAUGCAAGCAUAUAGUGUUGCAUGCUACUGAUUUGCUCAGCCCCGAUAGCAUACAUGUCUACGUUACAGGGAUCAGAUUAUUCAGGCCCUUGGCACCUGCCUUCGCCCAGGUGAGCGCUUCGUCCUGGAUAUUAGGAUAAUCCUGACUUGGAGUUAGUCUCGAGUCAGUUGGUUAGCCGGGUUGUGUGUGGCUAAGUCUAUAGUUGAGUGAAAACCGGAUCAAGUAGCUGUGUUGCUUGGCCGGUGCGUUACAUGAGACGUGGGUGCGUGUGCAUGGCGUGGUUAGUUAGUGCGUGCUACGUGCAUGGAGUUAGUGGCCGGGUGUGCCGGCUGGGUUGAGUGUGCACGGGUAUAAAAUCCCCUAUGUAUUGAUCGUUGCGAAGUAAUGAGCCGAGCCUAGGAGAGCCAGAAGAUGAGUGUGGUCUCCGUCAGAACCGUGGUAUGCGCCCGGUCGGCAGGAGAGAGAGCUCCCCUGGGUAGGCGUCGGUUUGUUGCCGAGCCAUGGCGUUCGUGCGCCGGAAUAUGUUGUAUGUGCGGCAAUGGCGUUUGUGCGCCGAAAACCACCACCGUGUCCUGUGUCUCUUCUUUCUUCUACCUUCGUUCGUUCGUGCGAGGGAGAGAGAGAGGGAGGGAGCUGGGCACCGGCGCAAAGGGCAAGCAAGGGCUCGACGCCAACACUGGAUAGUGUACCAGGUCCGAGAGGAACAGUUGUCGGUUAUCAAAGGUGCAGGCAUUGCGAUGUUUCCAGAUA